CGCAAGCAGGGGCCGGCAGCGAGGGUAAGGCGUAGGUGUAGAGCGUGGUCGGGAAUGAUGGGGCGUAAAGAGCGCGGGGGCGGCCGGUCGCGUCGGCGGUGAAAACCCGGGGCGCAACCCCGGGCCUGCAUGCGAUACGGGCAGACUAGAGUGCGGUAGGGGAGACUGGAAUUCCUGGUGUAGCGGUGAAAUGCGCAGAUAUCAGGAGGAACACCGGUGGCGAAGGCGGGUCUCUGGGCCGUAACUGACGCUGAGGAGCGAAAGCGUGGGGAGCGAACAGGAUUAGAUACCCCGGUAGUC
rnacentral:rRNA from 1 species